rnacentral:misc_RNA from 1 species
GAAAUGCGAUAAGUAAUGUGAAUUGCAGAAUUCAGUGAAUCAUCGAAUCUUUGAACGCCCCUUGCGCUCCUUGGUAUUCCUUGGAGCAUGCCUGUUUGAGUAUCAUGAAAUCUUCAAAGUAAAUCUUUUGUUAACUCAAUUGGUUUCUACUUUGGUAUUGGAGGUCUUUGCAGCUUCACACCUGCUCCUCUUUGUUCAUUAGCUGGAUCUCAGUGUUAUGCUUGGUUCCACUCGGCGUGAUAAGUUAUCUAUCGCUGAGGACACUGUAAAAGGUGGCCAAGGUAAAUGCAGAUGAACCGCUUCUAAUAGUCCAUUGACUUGGACAAUACUUUUAUGAUCUGAUCUCAAAUCAGGUAGGACUACCCACUGAACUUAAGC